UACGUAGGGACCGAGCGUUGUCCGGAAUCAUUGGGCGUAAAGAGCUCGUAGGCGGUUCGGCAAGUCGGGUGUGAAAACUCCAGGCUCAACCUGGAGACGCCACCCAAGACUGCUGUGGCUAGAGUCCGGUAGGGGAGCACGGAAUACCCGGUGUAGCGGUGAAAUGCUUAGAUAUCGGGUGGAACACCAGUGGCGAAGGCGGUGCUCUGGGCCGGAACUGACGCUGAGGAACGAAAAGCGUGGGUAGCAAACAGG
rnacentral:rRNA from 1 species